GGAUAUUCGCUCCUCCCCGCAAGGGUUGGAGAGGAAAGUCCGGACACCGCAGGGCAGGAUUCCUUCCGAAAGGGAGGGAGGCCCGGUUCAAGCCGGGUCGACGGCCAGUGCCACAGAAAACAAACCGCCCCGCUACGGUGGGGUAAGGGUGAAAAGGUGGGGUAAGAGCCCACCGCCCCCGAGGCAACGAGGGGGGCAGGGUAAACCCAUUCCGGUGCAAGGCAAAAUAGGGGACCGGGCGGCCCGCCCAAUGGUUCCGGGUAUGCCGCAUCCUCCUCCGGGAGGGGCCGGCCUCGUGCCGGCAGAUGAAUGAAUAUCGCCGGGCUCCGCGCCCGGUUACAGAAUCCGGCUUAUGC
rnacentral:RNase_P_RNA from 1 species